rnacentral:rRNA from 1 species
UCCUACGGGAGGCAGCAGUAGGGAAUCUUCCGCAAUGGACGAAAGUCUGACGGAGCAACGCCGCGUGAGUGAUGAAGGCUUUCGGGUCGUAAAACUCUGUUGUUAGGGAAGAACAAGUGCUAGUUGAAUAAGCUGGUACCUUGACGGUACCUAACCAGAAAGCCACGGCUAACUACGUGCCAGCAGCCGCGGUAAUACGUAGGUGGCAAGCGUUGUCCGGAAUUAUUGGGCGUAAAGCGCUCGCAGGCGGUCUUUUAAGUCUGAUGUGAAAGCCCACGGCUUAACCGUGGAGGGUCAUUGGAAACUGGAGGACUUGAGUACAGAAGAGGAGAGUGGAAUUCCACGUGUAGCGGUGAAAUGCGUAGAGAUGUGGAGGAACACCAGUGGCGAAGGCGACUCUCUGGUCUGUAACUGACGCUGAGGAGCGAAAGCGUGGGUAGCGAACAGGAUUAGAUACCCUGGUAGUCCACGCCGUAAACGAUGAGUGCUAGGUGUUAGGGGGUUUCCGCCCCUUAGUGCUGAAGUUAACGCAUUAAGCACUCCGCCUGGGGAGUACGGCCGCAAGGCUGAAACUCAAAGG